rnacentral:tRNA from 1 species
GGGCGCUUAGCUCAGCGGGAGAGCACUGCCCUUACAAGGCAGGGGUCGCAGGUUCGAACCCUGCAGCGCCCA